ACCCCUUAAGUACUAACCGUACUUCUAGUUUCGACCUAGAGGGACCUUUAAACGGGAAGGGGUA
rnacentral:tRNA from 1 species